rnacentral:rRNA from 1 species
AAAUUCAGGKKCUCAACCCCUGACCUGCACUCGAUACGGGCAAGCUAGAGUUUGGUAGGGGAGACUGGAAUUCCUGGUGUAGCGGUGGAAUGCGCAGAUAUCAGGAGGAACACCAAUGGCGAAGGCAGGUCUCUGGGCCAAUACUGACACUGAGGAGCGAAASCGGGGAGCGAACUAGGAUUAGAUACCCUGGUAGUCCNCNCCGUAAACGAUGKNCGCUAGUUGUGGGGACCUUCCACUGUUUYCNCUUACGCAGCUAACGCAUUAAGCNCCCCGCCUGGGAGUACGAUCGCAAGAUUAAAACUCAAAGGAAUUGUAC